CAACAACAACCAAACCAACAACAAACAAACAAUCCAAAAGCAAACAAAAUAAUAAUAAUUAAUAAUCAUAAUAAUAAGGCUGCCCCUUGAGCUGAUAUGUUGGGAGGAGGCUGGAGCUGGAAGAGCAACUGUGACAUUUGUGAUCACCAUGUGGUGAGCAGAGGAAAUUCCCCUCUCUUCCACCCUCAUGUCAGGAGCCUGCGCUCAGGGAGCAAAGGGUGAACAAUGUUUCUUUUCCUACAUGGAUAUCUGGGAGUUGAAAAUGGGAAUAAAGACAGCUUAUGAACUGUGUCACAAGCCCAUAGUCUAUGAAAAAACAUGAGAGAGCCUGCAGUGGGUGCAGCCCUUAACAAAUGCUGAAUGUUUGUGUGUCUGCUUGAAAUAUACUUGCUACAAGCACAGGUCUCAAUUGAAUGAAGCAUUUAAUCACGUUCCUAAGUCUAUACUUGUGCUUAGGGCCUGUGUCUCAAGGACUUUUUGGAAUUGCAAACUGACAUUGCUAUGCUCUGACUCCCUCUGGGAGAUACAGUUUAGACCAGGGGAAAGGGUUCUUCAGAGGCUGAAUUAGAUCAGAUCACAAGACCACAAAACACACAGGAGCAAAAGAGCUCGUCUGCCAGCAUCAAGGGCCAGGAGACCAGCACCUCUUGCACGGAGGCUUGCAGCUGUCUGAGAUGUCCCCUCUUCCAGCACACUAAGUGGAAGCGGUACUGGGCUGUGAUGCUGAUCCCUGACCACCACAGGAGGUUACUGCUCCAGCAGCUCUGGCUGCGUGAAGAAUCCUGCAGAGCACUUUGGCAGAAAGCAGGUUAAUGCCAGGUGCCCAACUCAUCCAGGCUGACCCAGGCAGUUUUGUCCACAGAACGGCAACGCUGGCGACCUCCAGGAACAGGCUGGUGACACCCUUGUCUGACACAGGUCUUUGCGCAGUAAAUACCAACUUUUAACCUGAUUACUUUCUUCUCAGUCUGAAAUGAGGCAUGGGUACAAACAUCUCUUCAUACUAGCAGCCUGAGCCUACAUCAACAUGGAAAAGCAUUUAUACAAGUGUGAAUCAAGACAGAAGGAAGGGCUGAUAGAGCCUCCCACCGAGCAGGAGGAAGAUCUUUAAGGAGAUGAUCUUUAAGGUCCCUUCCAAUUCAAACCAGUCUAUGAUUUUAUGGUCCCUUCCGAUUCAAACCAAUCUAUGAUUUUAUGAUUCUAUAAAUGAUGUGCCUGACAGAGCUGAAGCCACAUGGUCUACAAACAUGACUAAAAGACAUCCUGAACCACAACCUUACAGCUGCUAUCUCAAAACAAUCUCAAAACAGGAUCUCACAUCCCAUGCUUUAGACAAUUCUUUCCACACCAAAACAACCUGAGUUUGAGUCCAGGCUGGAAACAUACAUUUGAGGAUAAUGUAUGUAAUGGACUCCUUAUCUCUGUAUCUCAUGACAUCUUUUAUUUAAAAAAAAAUAGAAACACUACCCCACAUGUGUGUGAUAUGAAGACGUGUCAAUUUAAGGUGUGAUAAAUGAUUACAGCAAAAAGCUCUGACUAGAAUAACCACAGGGAAGCCAAGAGGCUCAUGGUUAAGUAACGAGUUCAUUCAGAAAAUGACAAGGCAGUGUGACAGCUGGAGUGAGGAAAGACUUGUGGCAAUAUUUUUAAAGAAUUGUAUGAUGAAAAAAUAAUAAUAAAUAUUAACAAAGUUUGAGGGGG